rnacentral:lncRNA from 1 species
UGGACAUUGAAAGACACAGAGUCUGGAUUAAAGUGAGAAGGGCACUGGACUUGUCUUUGCUUCUCAUCAUUGAGGACCAUAUUAUAGACACCGUCAAGGGUUGGAGGUGGCUGCAUCAUCAAAAGGUUACUCCUUACCCCCAUGUAUGCUUCAUUAAGGCCCAUUAGAAACUCAAAUACCUUAUUUUCAUCAUUUUUCUGUAUUAUACCAUCUUUGGCAGCAUAAACACAUCUUUGUCCAUGAUUGGCACACAUUGAUUCUAUUUCAUCCCACAGACCUUUGAGUUUAUUAAAAUAUGAAGCUACAUCUAGGGACCCUUGAGAGGUGUGAGAAAGCUCUCUUUUCAAUUCAAAAAUUUUGGUCCUGUUUGCAGUACCAUAUCUGUCCUGAAGUUGGGACCAUAUACUCUGUGCAGUAUCAGAAUACUGCACAGUUUCAGCAAUUUGAGGGGAGAGGGAGGCAGUUAACCAGGAAAUCAC